UGAGGUUUGAUUUUCUGUAGGAUGUAGGGAUAGGCUGACUAUUGGGUUGUGACAGUGAGUUCGAAACAAUAUUCAGAUUCAGAAAUAAUAAAAGUUAAUGAUUCAAAGACACAAAGUAACGAACGAGGAAUAUUACAACGUUUUGAAACACUGCUUGAAAGUCGGCAGGACAACUUAUAAUUGCACCAAAAGAAAUACGUCAAGAGCCAGGUUUUCAUCACUGAGUGAGAUGGAGGCCUAUCAAGUCUGAAGAGCAAGAAGUCGCUGGGAAGGAAAGAUUAGAGAACUGGAAGCUUUCUGGAACACUUCUUGAAAACGGGAAAGACAAUUUAUCAUUAUAUCUAAAGACGUGCGGAAUUGUUUGUCCGAUUAUGCAUCACUGAGAGAAUUUGCUGCCUCAGAGCAAUUUUCUAAAACACUGCUUGAAAAUGUCAUUGCAUCAAACGAUAUUGUAAA